AAUUAAUAUUUAUUAACUUAUAC
rnacentral:snRNA from 1 species